GACAGAGGUGCCGAGCGUUAGUCGGAAUCACUGGGCUUAAAGCGUGUGUAGGCGGCCCGUUAAGUGUCCCGUGAAAUCCCCCGGCUCAACCGGGGAACCGCGGGGCAUACUGGCGGGCUUGGGCCACUCAGGGGCAGACGGAACAGGCGGUGGAGCGGUGAAAUGCGUAGAUAUCGCCUGGAACGCCAAUGGUGAAAACAACUCGCUGGGGAAGUGCUGACGCUGAGACACGAAAGCCAGGGGAGCGAACGGG
rnacentral:rRNA from 1 species